rnacentral:sRNA from 1 species
UUAGCCCUGUCUUUACAAGGGACUAAAUAGGACCAACACCAUCAACACAGGGAACCGCGCUCUGGGCGUUGAUUGCAAGCCACGGUCCCGAUUCGUCGGGAUGCAGAGGAAGCAUGACCCGUCCAGGAGGUGCCCACUGUAUUGUAGAAGAGGUUCUAUCACUAGUCCACUAAAGACAGGGCUUUU